AGCCCAGCCCUGGGGAGACUAGUGUCAUUUUAUUCCAGGGACUUCUUUGGUUCUUCGAAGAAAUUUUGCUCUUGAAAAACAAAUCUCUCCGAAGAUAAAAUAUUUAAGAUAAGUUGCCCAAACACUACCAAGGUAGACUUUGCACUCCCGAAGUCAUGUCAAAAAUCAAGCCAAGCCAUAGGGAGGUUUUGGACGUGAAGCGGUCGCCAGUGUCAACUCCGCACAGCUCCCGGGCACCGAGGGCAGGGUGACCUGGGCAUGGGUCAGCAAGGGGAAGCGGUCCCUCUGCGGCUGGGGAAUCGCCGUUGUUGCAAGACUCAGCACUCCGUGCCCCCUGGCUUGGGGGCUUCCUCUUACACACUUUCGGUCUUGGUGGCAGUGGGUGGUUUGUGGGUGUUCUCCUGCCCACCCCCCAAGCCCUGGUGGCCAGGAGCUGGACUGGGCACUGGGCGUCGCCAGAUCCAAAAAUGGGAUUUCCCUCCGAGCACUUAGUCUCCAUAAUUUAAUUCUCGGUGUUUCCUGGUUGAGUAGCGUCACUCACUAGGAGGUCAGCUGGAAGAGGACAGAGCCUUGUUCUCACCUGAGUUCCCAGUGCCUUUCAGGGCCCAGCACUGCCUAACACCCACUAUGUGCCAGCCGUUUUACUUCAAGACCACCCAGUCAUCCCAACAACCCCACUGGCAGCUGAACAACUUCCUACAGGGGCAGCGCACCUUGCCCUAGGUCAUAGGCAAGUAUGUGGCGGAGUCAGGCUGGAGCCAGCUCAACCAGAUGGUUUCCCUUUUGCCAGACCCUCCAUGGGGCAGGGCCUGGGUAUCCAGGAAAGAAGGGUCAACGGAAGACCAAAGGUUGAAUAGAGAAAGAAGAGAUGAAGAAACUGAGGCAACAGAGAGCUUAAAUAAUUUGCCUAAGGGUCACCAGCAGAACUGGGAUUCCGACGAAGGUUUCCAGGACUUCAGAACCCACCCUGCUCACCACUUGGAUCAGAUUGAAAUUCUGCCUGUGGAAUGUCUCAUUGGAACAUCAUCAGAGCAAGGAAACCAGUAACAUUUGCUCCUACUUGUCAUUCAGUUCUUAGCUUAAAUGUCACCUCCUGAGGGAGAUCUUCCUUGGCCACUCCAUCUAAAAUAGGCUCUCUCCCCACGUGCCCUCUUCUCCCUCACUCUCUCUCUUAACUGAGAAUGAGUAUCUUCAAGGCACAUCCCAUUAUCUCUAAUGUGUUAAUUUUCUUCAAUUAUGUGUUUUCCUCUACAUAAUUUGUUUCUUUCUCAAUAGAAGGUCAGCUAGGUGAGAGCAAGGACCUUAUCUUUUCUCUGUUAUAUCUCCAACUUUUAGCCUAGAGUCUGGCACAGAGUGAGUGCUCACCAAAUACUUGCUAGAGGAUGUUAGUGGAUAGAUAAAUGGAUGGAUGGAUGGAUGGAUAGAUAGAUGGAUGGAUGGAUGGACUAUCUCAGUGGGGGAAUUUGGUUUCUCAAGGAGAGAAAUGCAACCUUGGAACAAAUCAGGUUCUGACUAGAAGAAAUCGAAAGGCAUCUUCCGUAUGAACACACUUGUUUGUGUGUAUAGACAAUAUGUAGAGCAUUUGCUUUAAAAAAAUAGAAUAUGUAUGUGUACAUGCUAGUACAUACCUAGAUUAUCUCCGGAAAGAUACAAAAGAAACUGGCAUAGGGCUGGGUGGUCAGGACACCAGAGACAGAACGAGGUUCACUUUUCACUAAUAUACUCUGUUUUUAUUUUAUUUUUUUACCAUGUGCAUGUAUUCCAUAUCCAGAACAUAUGUCUCAUUUUAGAAUAAUCACACAAUCAGAUUUCUUUCCCCUGGAAGUUCGGGCAGCAGAGCAAGUCAAGAGGUUAAUCAGAGGAGGUUGUUCCGAAGACAAUUAACACCUUUUCUCCAACCAGAAGCUUAAUUGUAGGAGCUGAAGCAAGGUUUUAGUGCCAUCUGUUUCCUCUGCCUGGGAAACUUGGUCCCUCUCGUUCACUCUUCAUCAGGCUGAGCACUACACAUCCUUCACGUAUCAGCUUCAUCGACUGUUUUCAGGAAGGCUUCCCCAUUGUCUGAACAGGAUGAACCCUGAACUGUUCACCUUAGGCAAUCCAGCACUGCCGGAUGCGACCUUCGCUGCCCCUCGUGGUAGGUCUCAUUCAGUGUCUUGCCUUAGCCACCAGGCUGUGAGCUCCAGGAACUGAGUUCCGUGCUCAGCACAGGGACAGUUGAAGGACUUAUCCCACGCCCUCCCAGACCGAGGACUGUGCCCUGCUCCCUGGCAGCAGAUGUCAGACAUGUCCUCACAGCCAUGUUCUUCCCUUGCCUUCUGGGAUAAACUCGAGACCCAGCCAAUGACUGCGAAACUGGGCAUCCUUCAUUCAUACCCCCAAACCCAGUGUCCACUGUGCACUCAGGGACUUAUCCUUGUGCUUACAAAAUCCUCUGAAAAUGCUCAUGACCAUGACUGACCCACACCUACUUUUGUCAACAGAAUGCUUGGACAUAGUUUAUAAGCAGAUUAAAGCCCCAACCUGGACCCAACCCCUUGCAAGAAACAUUUGAAGGUCAAACCCCCUGGGGCCAGCUCAAGCUGAAAUAAUGUAAAACCAUGAAGGCAUCCAACAACAAGUUGGAUAAUGACUCUGGAAGAGGCAAUGGUCAUAGAGCAUGAAGGCAGUAAAACACUGUGUCACAAAGCCUUAAGGGUAUGAGUACCCUUUGUUUUAGCAAUUGCACCUCUAGGGGUUUAUUAUAAUAAAAUGCUGCAUGGAACAGAGAUGAAUUUAUGAGAUAUCUACUACAGUGUUGCUUAUCAUAGUGGAAAAUGGAAAUAAUCUAGAUAGCCAACAACAGGAGAUUUGUUAAAAGCAAAAAUUCAGACAGUUCCCUGCCACCAUUAAAAAUGAUGUUGUACCUGUUA